GUUCAUCUUCACUGGAUCCCUGCCAAUGUUUAUUACAAACAAAGCAGAUUCGAAAUUUAGAUGUAAGAAAAUCAGUUUUAUGGUGUGCAGUAUACUAGGGGCAGCAGUUUUUUUCUCCAUUUCUAUUAUCUAUGUGGAUUCCAAAAUUGAGAUUUAUGUGUGAUGUUGGCGGUUGUGGCUAUAUCAACACGGAAUACUUUUAUACAAUAUCAAUUUUGAUGGGCAUAUUAUCCGUUGUUGUAUUACUAAUCACGAUCAUUUCAGCAUCCUACUGUUGUUGUUCACCAUGGGAUAUACAAGAA